rnacentral:rRNA from 1 species
UACGUAGGGUGCGAGCGUUGUCCGGAAUUAUUGGGCGUAAAGGGCUCGUAGGCGGUUUGUCGCGUCGGGAGUGAAAACUCAGGGCUUAACCCUGAGCCUGCUUCCGAUACGGGCAGACUAGAGGUAUGCAGGGGAGAACGGAAUUCCUGGUGUAGCGGUGAAAUGCGUAGAUAUCUGGAGGAACACCGGUGGCGAAGGCGGCAUCCUGGACCGGCAUUGACGCUGAGGCGCGAAAGCCAGGGGAGCAAACGGG